GACGAACGCUGGCGGCGUGCUUAACACAUGUAAGUCGAACGGAAAGGCCCUGCUUUUGUGGGGUGCUCGAGUGGCGAACGGGUGAGUAACGCGUGAGUAACCUGCCCUUGACUUUGGGAUAACUUCAGGAAACUGGGGCUAAUACCGGAUAGGAGCUCCUGCUGCAUGGUGGGGGUUGGAAAGUUUCGGCGGUUGGGGAUGGACUCGCGGCUUAUCAGCUUGUUGGUGGGGUAGUGGCUUACCAAGGCUUUGACGGGUAGCCGGCCUGAGAGGGUGACCGGCCACAUUGGGACUGAGAUACGGCCCAGACUCCUACGGGAGGCAGCAGUGGGGAAUAUUGCACAAUGGGCGGAAGCCUGAUGCAGCAACGCCGCGUGCGGGAUGACGGCCUUCGGGUUGUAAACCGCUUUCGCCUGUGACGAAGCGUGAGUGACGGUAAUGGGUAAAGAAGCACCGGCUAACUACGUG
rnacentral:rRNA from 1 species